rnacentral:rRNA from 1 species
UGCGUAGGCGGCCAAACAAGCCAGAGGUGAAAGGCUACGGCUUAACCGUAGUAAGCCUUUGGAACUGUAUGGCUUGAGUGCAGGAGAGGAGAGUGGAAUUCCUAGUGGAGCGGUGAAAUGCGUAGAUAUUAGGAGGAACACCAGUGGCGAAGGCGACUCUCUGGACUGCAACUGACGCUGAGGCACGAAAGCGUGGGGAGCGAACA